CCGACUUUAGCUCAGUUGGAAGAGCAUCAGACUGUAAUUGGCUUACCUAAUCACCAUCUGGGUGUCGCCUGUUCGAACCAGGCAAGUCGGA